AGGAAGGGGGGAAUUAAUUAGUAAAAUAAUAAUAAAACAAAUUUUAAUAUUAAAAUAUUUUAAUGGGGGUUAAAGUAUUAUUAAUAGAAAAAAUUUAAAAAUUUAUAGUUUAUUAGUAUUGUAAAAGAAUUUUGAAAUAAUUGAAAAUAAAAUUUUUUUAAAAGUAAAUUUAAUUUAUUGUAUCUUGUGUAUCAGAGUUUAUUAAAAAAUUUUUAAAAUUUUAAAUUUCUCGAAUUUAAAAGAGUUAAUUAAUUAAUAAAGUUAUUGUUGCAUAAAUAUUUUUAAUAAUUAAUUUGAAAUGAAAUGUUAAUCGUUUUUAAAUAUAUCUAGUUUUUUUAGAAAAAAAUUUAAUUUUUAAUUUAAUUAUAAAUUUAAAUAAUUAUUUAUUUAAAUUUAUAAUUAAAUUAAAUAAUUUAAGGGAUAAGCUUUAAAUUAAAUUUUUAUAAUUAUUUUUUUUUAAUUUAAAAAUUUUAUAAUUUGUAUUGUUAAUAAAUUUUAUUUUAUUAUAAAUAAUUUUAAAUAAAUAAAAAUUUAAUAAAAUUUAAUUUUUUAUAAAAAAAUUUAUAUAAAUAAGAAAUAUGAAGAAAUUAUGAUAAAAUUAGUAAAUGAGUAAAAAUUAUAAUUAAAAAUUUUUAAAAAUUAUUUUUUAGGAAUUCGGCAAAAAUUUAUAUUCACUUGUUUAUCAAAAACAUGUCUUUUUGUUAAUAAUUUAAAGUCUAAUCUGCCCACUGAUUUAAAAUUGAAGGGCUGCAGUAUUUUGACUGUACAAAGGUAGCAUAAUCAUUAGUCUCUUAAUUGGUGACUUGUAUGAAGGAUUGGAUGAGAUAUAAACUGUCUUAAAAAUAUUUAAUUGAAUUUAAUUUUUUAAUUAAAAAGUUAAGAUAAAUUAAAAAGACGAGAAGACCCUAUAGAGUUUUAUAUUAAUUUAAAUUAAAAUUAUUUAUAAAUUUAUUAGUAUAAAUUUAAUUUUGUAUUUUAUUGGGGUGAUAAAAAAAUAAAUUAAACUUUUUUUAAAAAUUUACAUAAAUAAGUGAAUUAUUGAUCCAAUUUUAUUGAUUAUAAGAAAAAAUUACCUUAGGGAUAACAGCGUAAUUUUUUUUUUUAGUUCUAAUAAAAAAAAAAGUUUGCGACCUCGAUGUUGGAUUAAAAUAAAAUUUAAAUGCAAAAGUUUAAAAUUUUUGAUCUGUUCGAUCAUUAAAAUCUUACAUGAUCUGAGUUCAAACCGGUGUAAGCCAGGUUGGUUUCUAUCUUUUAAUAUUUUUAAUAUUUUAGUACGAAAGGAUUAAAUAUUAUAAUUAAAUUAAAUAUUAAGAAUUUUAUUAAUUUAUUAUUAAAAUAUAUAUAUAUAUAUACAUAUUUAUUAUAUUU
rnacentral:rRNA from 1 species